rnacentral:rRNA from 1 species
AGAGUCAAAGCUACUCCCUUACACUGAGAAGAUGUUUGUGCAAGUCAAACCGUUUUGUUGCCAAUUAGCUAGCUUUUAACCAAAAACAACAAACAAUUAAUAAUACCCCCACAUUAAUUACCCCUAACAAUCAAAUCAUUUUACCCAUUUAGUAUGUGCGACAGAAAAAUAAGUCUCAAGCGAUAGAAAAAGUACCGUAAGGGAAAGCUGAAAAAGAAGUGAAAUAAAUCAGUCAAGCAAAAAAAAGCAGAGACUACACCUCGUACCUUUUGCAUCAUGAAUUAGUAAGACACCCCAAGCAAAACGACCUAUAGUUUGACCCCCCGAAACUAAGUGAGCUACUCCGAGACAGCCUAUAAAUUAGGGCACACCCGUCUCUGUGGCAAAAGAGUGGGAAGAGCUCCGAGUAGAGGUGAUAGAUCUACCGAACUUAGUUAUAGCUGGUUGCCUGAGAACUGAAUAUAAGUUCAGCCUCCCGGCUUCUCCACACACUAUUACACCCACACCCUCAACCCCCGGAUAGUCACUAAAGAAUACCGAGAGCGUGAGUUAAAGGAGGAACAGCUCCUUUAACAUAAGACACAACUUUACCAGAAGGAUAAAGAUCAUAAUCCCCAAAGUAUUCCU